rnacentral:sRNA from 1 species
AACACUCCAGGAGAAAUUUGCACUGAUGGCUCAGAAGGCUUACGUCAUGGAGAGUAUGACCUACCUCACAGCAGGGAUGCUGGACCAACCUGGCUUUCCCGACUGCUCCAUCGAGGCAGCCAUGGUGAAGGUGUUCAGCUCCGAGGCCGCCUGGCAGUGUGUGAGUGAGGCGCUGCAGAUCCUCGGGGGCUUGGGCUACACAAGGGACUAUCCGUACGAGCGCAUACUGCGUGACACCCGCAUCCUCCUCAUCUUCGAGGGAACCAAUGAGAUUCUCCGGAUGUACAUCGCCCUGACGGGUCUGCAGCAUGCCGGCCGCAUCCUGACUACCAGGAUCCAUGAGCUUAAACAGGCCAAAGUGAGCACAGUCAUGGAUACCGUUGGCCGGAGGCUUCGGGACUCCCUGGGCCGAACUGUGGACCUGGGGCUGACAGGCAACCAUGGAGUUGUGCACCCCAGUCUUGCGGACAGUGCCAACAAGUUUGAGGAGAACACCUACUGCUUCGGCCGGACCGUGGAGACACUGCUGCUCCGCUUUGGCAAGGUAACCAGGCCCUCCCAGGCCUGGGUCGCAAGUGGUCCUCCAAUUUGGCCAGCAUUCAUGAGACUACUUUUUGUCAAGCAUCCUUUGGGACCAGGCCUAGAACAGAAAUCUUGAUCACCCUGGAGGGAUGGGGUGGUGAGGUCAGGCUGACUUUGUCAGCCUGGGGCCCACUUAGCUACUCGGACGGGUACCCUUGCUGGGUGAGUUUUCUGCAGUGUUUUUCUGUGCACCUUUCAGGUAGAGAGGCUCCCUAGAAUCGGGAGGGCAGCUCCACCUGGGGCCUGAAUCUAGGGACCUGAUUGGUGGGGCCCUUGCUGCUGAAGGUGACAGUAGCACAGUAAGCACUGGCUUCUGGUCUCAGCCAAGCUUCUGGGACCUGGUCUUGCCUUAACCCCUCCCUGAAUCUAGAGCUCAAAGAGAAGGGAAAACAGAAGGUGGCUGGGAGCCGUUCUCCCACAACCUGAAGAGAAAGGUGUUAUUGACUCCACUUUCUCAAGGAACACAGGAGACUAAGACAGGCAAAGAUGCAGCCCAGGGAGGGACCGUGUGGGGGACUGGUCUAGGUAGUGAGUCCCCACUUGGAGCCUCUGUGAUCCCAGACCAUCAUGGAGGAGCAGCUGGUACUGAAGCGGGUGGCCAACAUCCUCAUCAACCUGUAUGGCAUGACGGCCGUGCUGUCGCGGGCCAGCCGCUCCAUCCGCAUUGGGCUCCGCAACCACGACCACGAGGUUCUCUUGGCCAACACCUUCUGCGUGGAAGCUUACUUGCAGAAUCUCUUCAGCCUCUCUCAGCUGGACAAGUAUGCUCCAGAAAACCUAGAUGAGCAGAUUAAGAAAGUGUCCCAGCAGAUCCUUGAGAAGCGAGCCUAUAUCUGUGCCCACCCUCUGGACAGGACAUGCUGAGGCAGGGGACAGUGUCCCCUGCUGCCGCCCGCCCCUACCCAUGGCCCGUUGCUGGAUGACUGUUACUCUUUUUUCAGAAGGUGUUGGGAUUAUCACAGGUUAAGCCUUUUGUUCCCCCAUCUGCACCUGAAGGGUUGUCGCCUGGCCUGGGAGAGCCUCUUCCAGGUUUUGACCUGCAGGCAGUGCUCUCUAAUAGGACCAUCACAGCUUCUGAACUGAGCUGGAGAGAGAGAAUGGAAUUGCUGACCCCUGGAACUGGCGGGUAUUCUGGUCAUUGAGGAGACACCAUAGUGGAAACUGGGGCUUAUGCUGCUGCCUCCAGGGCGUGAGGUGGGUGGGGACCUGUGUCAGGUGUGGAUAGCCAUUUCUGCUCAACCACACAUUCUCUAAGAAACAGCUUGAAAGCUCUGUCUGGGUCAUUCAUUUAAACUAGAAGCAGAGGCACUUAAAACAUGUACUAGGAACCAUUUAACAAAGAAUAUAAAAUGUCACAA